GCCUCGGCCUCCCAAAGUGCUGGGAUUACAGGUAUGUAGCCUGACAGUCUUUAAAGAAACUUAGCUACCCUCAGUGGGAUGGGCUGUGGUGCCAGGCAAAGACCUCCCUAGAU